rnacentral:rRNA from 1 species
UAAUACGGGGGGAGCAAGCGUUGUUCGGAAUUACUGGGCGUAAAGGGUGUCUAGGCGGCCUUGUAAGUCGGGGGUGAAAUCCACUGGCUCAACCAGUGACGUGCCUUCGAAACUGCUAGGCUUGAGUAUGGCAGAGGAGAGCGGAAUUCCAGGUGUAGCGGUGAAAUGCGUAGAUAUCUGGAAGAACACCGGUGGCGUAGGCGGCUCUCUGGGCCAAUACUGACGCUGAAGCACGAAAGCCAGGGGAGCAAACGGGAUUAGAUACCCCGGUAGUCCUGGCCCUAAACGUUGGAUACUAGGUGUAGGAGGCAUCGACCCCUUCUGUGCCGCAGCUAACGCAUUAAGUAUCCCGCCUGGGGAGUACGACCGCAAGGUUG